rnacentral:rRNA from 1 species
GAGUUUGAUCCUGGCUCAGAUUGAACGCUGGCGGCAGGCUUAACAUAUGCAAGUCGAGCGGGGGAGAUUGCUUCGGUAAUUGACCUAGCGGCGAACGGGUGAGUAAUACUUAGGAAUCUGCCUAUUAAUGGGGGACAACAUCUCGAAAGGGAUGCUAAUACCGCAUACGCCCUACGGGGAAAGCAGGGGAUCACUUGUGACCUUGCGUUAAUAGAUGAGCCUAAGUCGGAUUCGCUAGUUGGUGGGGUAAAGGCCUACCAAGGCGACGAUCUGUAGCGGGUCUGAGAGGAUGAUCCGCCACACUGGGACUGAGACACGGCCCAGACUCCUACGGGAGGCAGCAGUGGGGGAUAUUGGACAAUGGGGGGAACCCUGAUCCAGCCAUGCCGCGUGUGUGGAGAAGGCCUUAUGGUUGUAAAGCACUUUAAGCGAGGAGGAGGCUCCUGUAGUUAAUACCUACAGAGAGUGGACGUUACUCGCAGAAUAAGCACCGGCUAACUCUGUGCCAGCCGCCGCGGUAAA